CGCGUAGGCGGUCUUGUCGGUCAGAUGUGAAAGCCCGGGGCUCAACCCUGGAAGUGCAUUUGAAACAGCAAGACUUGAAUACUGGAGAGGAGAGCGGAAUUCCUGGUGUAGAGGUGAAAUUCGUAGAUAUCAGGAGGAACACCGAUGGCGAAGGCAGCUCUCUGGACAGAUAUUGACGCUGAGGCGCGAAGGUGUGGGUGGCGAACAGGAUUAGAUACCCUGGUAGUCC
rnacentral:rRNA from 1 species